CGGUUCCGGUUCCUGGAAUUUCAACAGGGUACCCUGUUGUGCUCACCCCUAGUAUUCAUACAAAGAGUAAGGGUUGAAACAUGUCACUACCUGUUUAAAAAGUAACAUAGACAAUGAAAACGCUUAAGUUACGUAUUUGUUAAUUAACUCGAGUACUCUCCAAAAAAUAAACAUAAAAGCAUGAGCAGUGUUGAGUUUCUAAUGACUCACAAGUCACAACACCAUCUCUUCUCUUUGUGGGUAAACUCACCAUCGUAGAUAGUUCCCCAUUGCAUCCCCAUUGUAUUAGGUUAUAGUGACUACUGGGUCACUGACAGCCUCGACCCACAAGCUAACAUCCUAUGAAAUUUUGACACUUGUCAUUUACUUGCUUGAUUUUUCUGUCCGACUCCUCCCAUGUACUUCUACUUUUAUAAUUGAUUAGUGUAUGAGAGAGAUCAGAGAGUGUUGUGAGUAAGUUCCCCUUUGUAAAAAAAAAGAGGUAACUCAUUAUAGUGACUCAAGAUAGUGGAAAGUAAUGUGGAUGAUGACGUGAAAAAGAGAUGAUGCUAUGAAUGGUUGUGGGCAACCUCACUAUUGCUCAUGCACCAAACAGUAUUGGCGGAGAUUGUGGAGAACUUAUCUGUCGGCUGUUACAAGAACGAGCCCCACAUAAAUAGCCACAUCUAUUUAUCAAUUUGUGCUUAGGAAAUCCCAUAUUCUCAAACAUUAACGUAUACUCCGUAAUAGGUGACGGUUCAAUAAAAUUCAUCUUAACUUUAAAAAAAACAUAAAAAUUGAGUUAUGUGACAAAAUGCCAACCAGGCAACUAUCCACCCGCGGUUAUUAGAUAGGGAAGCUAGGUUUGCUGGUGAAUCAAUCGGCCCAAUCGGGCCAUACAUCAGCCCGACAAACGGCGGGAUCAAUAAUCCUUUUUUGGCGCCAAUUUCACGCCUUCUCCAACAUGAGUAAUUUCAUACUUCAAAAAUUCUGCUCUGAAACAAUCUCAGCUGCAAUUCAACGGCGAUUACAGUUACCACCGUUUCUCAGAUUCCUCCUCUAAUCGUCUUUGAAGCAUCCUUCCUGUGAAAUUGAUUUGGCGGUCGAGAAUGUUUCUACCAAUCUGAUGCUACUACUGUCAUGUGAUCUGUGUUACUCAGAGUCUUCAUUUCGUCUCAAGAUCCUCCUACUAGGGUAAGGAGAGUUGGAGACUUCCCACUUCUUUUGGACUAAAAACGUGUAAAACCUUUGUUAAGUGUCCGCGUCUGACACUUGGAAACAUACCUCUGCCUAACACUGAUUUUCUGGCCUGAGUAACAUAGCAUGUGACAGUCGGACUAAUUCCCGAUUUGUAUUGUUGAUCUGCUGAUUUCUUAAAUGGAGUUCCGACAGGCCGACAGAAACUAGAAUGUGAUAGUCGAGUACUCGAGUACAAACAUGAGCUGCAGCCUGCAGUGGUUUAAAUGAUGCUAUUAUGGAAAUUUCAUAAAAUGGAGGACCACUAACACGAAAAAUCAUUUGUGACAAACAUACCUUUCUGCCAGCCAUAAAAAGAAUUUAUUGAGAGGUAUAUAUUUUGGUGAUCUCUAAAUGUUAUCUAUGUUACUACUACUUGCUUUCACAUACUGUCUACUAACCUUGUUAAGUCACCCAUCUUACCUAGGAUAAGAAAGAAGUCACCUGGUUCCUUUAUCUUCCUUUUCUCCUUUGUAAGUGGCACCUGCCAUCUGGGUGGUGUUUCAUAUUUUAUUUUUAGCAGAAAUGGUUUAAAUCAAGGUCUUAUUUAGGUUGCAACACUUCAUAAAGGUCAUUCAUAAAUCAUAAUGUAAUUUGUAAAACAUUGUAUGAAUUAUGAAAACUUUGAUGUACUCUCUUUAUCUGUAAAUUUUCUGUUAUAUAAUUGAUGGGAGCAUCAUGAUGUGUAUUUCUUUCGAGUCACUUUCUGGUCCUCCUUAAAAAACUUGGCUACUGUUCCCUUCUUUUCUAGACAAGUACGGGACCCCUGUCUGCUGAUUUUGCUGUUCUAGGUUGUCUUUGAGAUAGAAGUUAAUUUUUUUGGUUCCACUUUUCUUUCAUGAACUUUUUCCUUAUUUGUGAAUUGAGAGCAUAAGGUGAUAAGGGUAGGGGUUAAACUCAUACGGAAACCUAUCUUGUGGAUCUAGUCUUAAGAAGAACAUCCUUGUGGAUAUGAAAAUCUAAACUCUGUUUACCAAGAGAAUGUUUGAUAUUUCUUCCCUUUCAUUGUCAGAUAUGUCUGUACAUUGUUAAGUGUACACAUUCAGAGAGUUGCCUGCAGAAAAUAUGCCAACUCAUGUUUUACGUCUUGUGCAUUUUUUGUUUGUAUUGACCUGUAGUACCUUCUUUUUUUCGGGAGGGGGCAGUGUUUGGUUUGUACACAAGGACUUUAUUAACGACAACAACUUAGUACAGAUUGAGGGUGAGGUUAUGAGGAAGGUCAAGUACGCAGUCUCAUCCUAACAAGUAUAAUGACCGUCUUUUAAAGACCAGAAGAGAUUGUGGGAAGCAUAAUAAAUGGUUUUAGAAUUUAUUUGUUCUCUAGAUUACCUAACCCACUUAUAUAGUUUCCCUACUUUCUAAAUUGGGUUAUUUAGUAUUAUUGUAUUAUUGACAUAAAAAAUUAUGCACUUAUUGUUGAAGGCCUAAUUAGUUAAUUAUUACCAAGUUUUGACCAUUCUUUUCAAUUUUCCUUCCUUCAAAUUUGUGAUUUAAUUAUUGAUGGAACUACAAAUUUUGAUUAAUGCUCAAUAUUUUGCAAACUUACUGCUCAUUUGUAUGCCGACAUUUGGACUGAUUCCUUCUUAUAUAUUCUACCUAGAACACCACUAGUUGCAGGACAUUGUAUGCUGCCGUCCAAGUUCAAAGUUCUGCCGCAGCAGUUGGGUUUUUCAAGA